rnacentral:rRNA from 1 species
AUUGAACGCUGGCGGCAUGCCUUACACAUGCAAGUCGAACGGUAACAGGGAGCUUGCUCCGCUGACGAGUGGCGAACGGGUGAGUAAUGUAUCGGAACGUACCAUUCAGUGGGGGAUAACGUAGCGAAAGUUACGCUAAUACCGCAUAUUCUGUGAGCAGGAAAGCAGGGGAUCGCAAGACCUUGCGCUGAUUGAGCGGCCGAUAUCAGAUUAGCUAGUUGGUGGGGUAAAGGCCUACCAAGGCGACGAUCGGUAGCUGGUCUGAGAGGAUGAUCAGCCACACUGGGACUGAGACACGGCCCAGACUCCUACGGGAGGCAGCAGUGGGGAAUUUUGGACAAUGGGCGAAAGCCUGAUCCAGCCAUGCCGCGUGCGGGAAGAAGGCCUUCGGGUGUAAACCGCUUUAGUUCCGGAAAAGGGGUAGCGAGGAGUAAUACCCUCGUGCUUUGAUGGUACUGGAAGAAUAAGCACCGGCUAACUACGUGCC